rnacentral:lncRNA from 1 species
UUUCUUUGAAGAAGAGGGUUUUAUUUGCAGGCAGCAUCUUCCUCCCUUUUUUCUUCUAUCGACACCACCGUUUCCUCUUUUUUCAUUCUCCGGCGUUCAACAAUCCUCUGCGUUUCCCUCUUCCUUUGUUAGGUAACGUUCUUGAUUUUUUUUGUGUAUUUUAUUGAUUUCGUUUUUGUUUUUUGUUAGUUAUUUAAAAUUAGGCUAAUCCCUUCAUCACUGUGUUCAUCGGGCUAUUGGGUUCUACCUUUAUUCUUUGUAGUUGUAGUAUGACGUUUGGUUCCGAUGUCAGUUUGGUUCACCAUCAUCAUUGAUCAAGAAAAAGAGUUCAGGUGUUUCUCCUUUGAUUUCUAUGUUGUGAGUUUAAUUGUGUAUUUUUCACCUCUGAUUUCUGGGUUUCUUUUUUCUUUCUAUUUCUCGUCCAUUUAUUUUUUGUUUUGUUGGUUUUUUGAACCAGGUCACGUAAUAGAAAGCACCCAUCAAGUGAAGAUGAUUGGUCAAGCAACGGUAAAAUUGAAGUAGUCUUGAAACCUGAAAAAGUAUUGUUUAGUUGUAGACACCGUUAGGUGUUUGAUGAAAUGCCUUAAUUAAGUUAAAGAGUUGUUUUAUUGGAUUAAAUUACGUAGAGAGAAGUAUAAAUAAGCACAAGCCAAUUUUAAUAAUAAACAACUUACUGAGCGAUUAGAGAUUCAAUUAGGGAAAGAUAAUUUAUUCUUUGCAUUUUUAACUCAUUUACAAAUAGAAGUGUAGUUUGGUUCUAACUAAAAGUUGCAUAUAAAAUUGUUUCUGUUUAAUUAAGUUAGGUUUCCUUUCCAAUUAAUAUACACUAGGAUGAACUUUAAAAUUUCCAUAUUUGAAACAGAUUUUGAUUAUCAUUGCUACAAAAAUAUCUGGACUCAAGUUUGUAAUUUUCUUACUGCAGGAUUUUAGAGAUUGAAGUUUGAUUUUUGGGGGCAUAAGGUUAAAAUGCUUGAAUCUUAAUCAAAUGAGGAGGAUACUUCCAAGAGGUGUUGUGAUUUUUUUGACAUUUCAGUUGCUGAGCUUUUUGUCAUUUCUUUUAUUUAUUUAAAAGGUGUGCUUUUAUUAGGACAUCAAUGCCUCAUGGUGUGGCCUUUGGUAGAUUGAAAUGUUUAAAACAAGUGGUCAAGAUAAAGAGGGUGUUGGUGUUUGCUUUCAUUUCUCUUAUGAGGUAAUAGUCAAUAAUUCCCUUUUGUGAAUAAAAAUAUUAUAUAUGGGAUUUUUCUAAAAAAGCUUCAGUUUUUUGCAGGAACCUCUUCAUGUAGCUGUGAUGCUUGUUCCAAUUAUGUUAAGAAAGUAUGGAUUUCAUUUCAUUCUUUCUGGUGAUCUGUACAAGAAAUGGGAUCAGGUAUUGCAAUUUUUGUUACUGGAUCGUAUUUUAAUAGAAGAUAAUUUUGUUUUCCAAUUAUUAUUGAAUAUAUGAAUGAUUUAUCCAUUUUUGUUAGAGUAAUGGUGCAAUGGAUCCAAAAGAAUUUGUUUCAGUCCACAAAGAGGUUUUCACUCCUUAAUUAAUAUCAACUUUAUUAUGAUUAGGUUAUC